GAUGAACGCUGGCGGCGUGCCUAAUACAUGCCAGUCGAGCGAACAGACGAGGAGCUUGCUCCUCUGACGUUAGCGGCGGACGGGUGGGUAACACGUGGAUAACCUACCUAUAAGACUGGGAUAACUUCGGGAAACCGGAGCUAAUACCGGAUAAUAUAUUGAACCGCAUGGUUCAAUAGUGAAAGACGGUUUUGCUGUCACUUAUAGAUGGAUCCGCGCCGCAUUAGCUAGUUGGUAAGGUAACGGCUUACCAAGGCAACGAUGCGUAGCCGACCUGAGAGGGUGAUCGGCCACACUGGAACUGAGACACGGUCCAGACUCCUACGGGAGGCAGCAGUAGGGAAUCUUCCGCAAUGGGCGAAAGCUUGACGGAGCAACGCCGCGUGAGUGAUGAAGGUCUUCGGAUCGUAAAACUCUGUUAUUAGGGAAGAACAAAUGUGUAAGUAACUAUGCACGUCUUGACGGUACCUAAUCAGAAAGCCACGGCUAACUACGU
rnacentral:rRNA from 1 species